rnacentral:rRNA from 1 species
AGAGUUUGAUCAUGGCUCAGGAUGAACGCUGGCGGCGUGCUUAACACAUGCAAGUCGAACGCUGAAGCCCCAGCUUGCUGGGGUGGAUGAGUGGCGAACGGGUGAGUAACACGUGAGUAACCUUCCCUUGACUCUGGGAUAAGCCCGGGAAACUGGGUCUAAUACCGGAUACGACCUCCUGCCGCAUGGUGUGGGGGUGGAAAGAUUUAUCGGUUUUGGAUGGACUCGCGGCCUAUCAGCUUGUUGGUGAGGUAAUGGCUCACCAAGGCGACGACGGGUAGCCGGCCUGAGAGGGUGACCGGCCACACUGGGACUGAGACACGGCCCAGACUCCUACGGGAGGCAGCAGUGGGGAAUAUUGCACAAUGGGCGCAAGCCUGAUGCAGCGACGCCGCGUGAGGGAUGACGGCCUUCGGGUUGUAAACCUCUUUCAGUAGGGAAGAAGCGAAAGUGACGGUACCUGCAGAAGAAGCGCCGGCUAACUACGUGCCAGCAGCCGCGGUAAUACGUAGGGCGCGAGCGUUAUCCGGAAUUAUUGGGCGUAAAGAGCUCGUAGGCGGUUUGUCGCGUCUGCCGUGAAAGUCCGGGGCUUAACCCCGGAUCUGCGGUGGGUACGGGCAGACUAGAGUGCAGUAGGGGAGACUGGAAUUCCUGGUGUAGCGGUGAAAUGCGCAGAUAUCACGAGGAACACCGAUGGCGAAGGCAGGUCUCUGGGCUGUUACUGACGCUGAGGAGCGAAAGCAUGGGGAGCGAACAGGAUUAGAUACCCUGGUAGUCCAUGCCGUAAACGUUGGGCACUAGGUGUGGGGGACAUUCCACGUUUUCCGCGCCGCAGCUAACGCAUUAAGUGCCCCGCCUGGGGAGUACGGC